rnacentral:rRNA from 1 species
GCGCGAAAACUUUACAAUGCUGGCAACAGCGAUAAGGGAACCUCGAGUGCCAGGUUACAAAUCUGGCUGUCGAGAUGCCUAAAAAGCAUUUCAUAGCAAGGGCCGGGCAAGACCGGUGCCAGCCGCCGCGGUAACACCGGCGGCUCGAGUGGUAACCGUUAUUAUUGGGUCUAAAGGGUCUGUAGCCGGCCGGAUAAGUCUCUUGAGAAAUCUGGCAGCUUAACUGUCAGGCUUUCAGGAGAUACUGUCUGGCUCGAGGCCGGGAGAGGUGAGAGGUACUUCAGGGGUAGGGGUGAAAUCUUGUAAUCCUUGAAGGACCACCAGUGGCGAAGGUGUCUCACCAGAACGGACCUGACGGCAAGGGACGAAAGCUAGGGGCAGAACCGGAUUAGAGACCCGAGU